GGAUGUGGCUCAAGUGGUAGAGUGCUCGCCUGGCAUGUGUGAGGCACUGGGUUCGAUCCUCAGCACCA
rnacentral:tRNA from 1 species